GUCAUAUGAAUAAAACCGAGCAUUUGCUCAUGCUCAACCUGGUUUAAGUAAAGUAAAGUCUUUGAGCAUUUACUCAAAACCGUAUGAAUAAAACUAUACUUUACUCAGAGUAAGUUCGAAAUUCGAACAUAGCUUUUACUCUGUCAAAAAUGUUGUUUUUGUUUUGGUUAUCCGAUUGCUGAUUUCGCAAAAAUAAAAAUCCAGUAGUGCUUUGGCGGAUCUUUUGCCAUGCUAGGGAAAAAGUGUGAGUUGCUUGAUUUGCUGCCGCUUGCUGAUGCACACCCUGGCGGAACAUAUUUAUUAGCAUCACGCCUACCGGGGAAGCGUCGGUGAACGCAGAAAAAUCGCCUACCGGGGAAGCGUCGGUGAACGCAGGACACUAGUACACCAGCAAGGACUACAAAUUGGUGCUUGGAGAACACCCAACCGGUCCGCUCGCUACGCCCUCAGUGGAGAACAGAUGGCAAUGCCCUUCAACAGAAUCGGUGUCCAAGUGAAAGGCCACGGUGACGCCAUUCAGAACCCCAGCGGAGUCGAUUGAACGGUCGACAAGUUUCAGCAAUGGAAAGAAAGGAAAACAAACGAUCUGUCCUGAGUGGGUUCGCGAUGCAGGCUACCGGAUUGAGGGACCACAUCCCCACUUGGCUGUUAAAGAAAUGAAUAAACUGUUAACAUAUCCUA
rnacentral:lncRNA from 1 species